GAUGAACGCUGGCGGCGUGCCUAAUACAUGCAAGUCGAGCGAACAGACGAGGAGCUUGCUCCUCUGACGUUAGCGGCGGACGGGUGAGUAACACGUGGAUAACCUACCUAUAAGACUGGGAUAACUUCGGGAAACCGGAGCUAAUACCGGAUAAUAUAUUGAACCGCAUGGUUCAAUAGUGAAAGACGGUUUUGCUGUCACUUAUAGAUGGAUCCGCGCCGCAUUAGCUAGUUGGUAAGGUAACGGCUUACCAAGGCAACGAUGCGUAGCCGACCUGAGAGGGUGAUCGGCCACACUGGAACUGAGACACGGUCCAGACUCCUACGGGAGGCGGCAGUAGGGAAUCUUCCGCAAUGGGCGAAAGCCUGACGGAGCAACGCCGCGUGAGUGAUGAAGGUCUUCGGAUCGUAAAACUCUGUUAUUAGGGAAGAACAAAUGUGUAAGUAACUAUGCACGUCUUGACGGUACCUAAGCAGAAAGCCACGGCUAACUACGU
rnacentral:rRNA from 1 species